CGGUCUACACGGAGUACGUUUCGUAGUACCUCGGCGUCAGGGACGAACGGCUGGCGGCGUAGCUUAACACAUGCAAGUCGAACGCUGAAGCUCAGCGUUUUGUUGGGUGGAGUGAGUGGCGAACGGGUGAGUAACACGUGAGUAACCUGCCCUCUUCUUUGGGAUAACGCCCGGAAACGGGUGCUAAUACUGGAUAUUCACUGAUCUUCGCAUGGGGGUUGGUGGAAAGGUUUGUUCUGGUGGGGGAUGGGCUCGCGGCCUAUCAGCUUGUUGGUGGGGUGAUGGCCUACCAAGGCUUUGACGGGUAGCCGGCCUGAGAGGGUGACCGGUCACAUUGGGACUGAGAUACGGCCCAGACUCCUACGGGAGGCAGCAGCGGGGAAUAUUGCACAAUGGGCGAAAGCCUGAUGCAGCGACGCCGCGUGAGGGAUGGAGGCCUUCGGGUUGUAAACCUCUUUCGCUCAUGGUCAAGCCGCGACGUGGGUUGUGGUGAGGGUAGUGGGUAAAGAAGCGCCGGCUAACUACGUG
rnacentral:rRNA from 1 species